CCCGUUUUUGUAUCUGUGUUAUGAUAGUUGUUGCGUUUCCUCUUGCACCGUUGUUAGAAUUGUGGGUCAUGGUUCGAUUUUCUGUUUCAUCGUUCCCGGAUAUUAUUGCCCCUACAUAUCUCCGGUCUUGAACCCACACUCCUCGUUGUUCUCGGAGGGUGUUGCUCACUAUUUCGAUCUCGUGUGGCGUUUUCCCCUAGCCCUUUUUUGUCCAGGCCUGCGCUUUUGCUUUGUCCGCCGCAAUUCUGCGGAUGCGGAAUCCGUUUUUCGAUGUCUCGUUUUUGAAUAGUUCCGGCUGUUCAUUUGCAAAGUUGUUGUCAAGCAUCUGCAGCGUUCCUCUUUCUCUAUCAGUUCAUCGUUUGUCUACUGUAAUCCCCUAGGCUAGGGAGAGCCUUCUGAUGCUGUUGGAAUCUGGUGGGGGCUUUUUCAGAUUAUGUUUUGUCUUUUGGGAUGCUGUUUUUGGUGCAAUGAUCUUAUCGCAAACUCUUCGUUUCCGUGCAUGGACUGUUCGUUGCUGAUGAAAUCUUUGUAUAUUUUUUAAAUUUUAUUAGUAAUGUUGUUAAUUUGUGUUUGUCGUCUUUGAGAGAUAGUUAUGAGUUCUGACGAAACAUGCACGCUCGUCAGCGGAAUGUGCUGCGUGUUAUCCAAAGCGUUGUUGAGACACUUUGUAUAACAAUGUGGUGUGAAAUUGGGUAGUCGAGUUCUUCGAUGUGUCUUUUAUUAGAAUGAUCCACAAUAUACUCUUGCGCACUAAACUAUGUUAGAAUAUGUUCAAGGAUGGAGUGCGAAGUGACAUGCUCUAUUUAUUUAUAUUUAGAGCUUUGUGUUUGUUUUUAGUUUUGAUGAAGGAUUGUUGCUCGUGUGUGUUUAAAAUCAGUCAGAUUAUAGUUGUGAUUCAUGUGUAUGUUUAUCAACUGACAGAAAUUAUUUUAAGGUUUGCUGCUAUGUGGCCGUUUGUGUACGCUAUUUGCUUAUGACAAAGUUUAUUAUUGAUAUAACAUUGCGUCAGAUUUGUUAAAUGUUUUAGCAUUAUUAUUGGUGAUAAAUUAUUGCAUUUUUUAGACUAUGAGAUUUAAGGAAUUUCACCUUUCACAGAAUUAUUUUUCUUUUUCCUUCAUGUUUAAAAUACAGUGUCCAAUGGGGCAGCACAUAGUGUUGUUUUUUGUUUUUUGUUUUUUUGGUAGUUAUUGAAUUUUUAUUUAUUUUCUGUGAUAGUCAAGGACUCAAACACCACUAGUUUCAAUAGUGAUUUUAUAAUCAAGCAUAUGGGUGCACUUCAAAUCCUAAAUGUUUUGCAUAAAUAUGAAAUUAUCUAGCUUCUACUUUAUAAUGUAUAAAGAUUCAAUAUACAUGUACCUUUUCAAUCUAAAUGUAGAAGGUUGUAGCUCUACCUUCAUGCACUGCAAAUCUUAAUUGUUGAAUGACACAUGAAUAGGUAAAAAUAAGAUAGAAAAAACAAAAGAGAACUUCAACAAAGGCACAUGUUUGCUUCUAGUUGUACUUGUGCCGAAGUACUUUACUUAAAUCAAUCCAACACUGAACAAUCUUGUCUAGUGUUGAGAAGAAAAGACAUAGCCACUCGUAAAAGAUGCCUCAUCAUCAUUAUCAUCACACUUUUGGUGAUUGU
rnacentral:lncRNA from 1 species